rnacentral:rRNA from 1 species
GACGUAGGGCGCGAGCGUUGUCCGGAUUUAUUGGGCGUAAAGAGCUCGUAGGCGGUUUGUUGCGUCAGCUGUGAAAUCCCGAGGCUCAACCUCGGGUCUGCAGUCGAUACGAGCAAACUAGAGUGUUGCAGGGGAGACUGGAAUUCCUGGUGUAGCGGUGAAAUGCGCAGAUAUCAGGAGGAACACCGGUGGCGAAGGCGGGUCUCUGGGCAACAACUGACGCUGAGGAGCGAAAGCGUGGGGAGCGAACAGG